AACGAACGCUGGCGGCAUGCCUAACACAUGCAAGUCGAACGAAGGCUUCGGCCUUAGUGGCGCACGGGUGCGUAACGCGUGGGAAUCUGCCCCUUGCUUCGGAAUAACAGUUAGAAAUGACUGCUAAUACCGGAUGAUGUCGAAAGACCAAAGAUUUAUCGGCAAGGGAUGAGCCCGCGUAGGAUUAGGUAGUUGGUGGGGUAAAGGCCUACCAAGCCGACGAUCCUUAGCUGGUCUGAGAGGAUGAUCAGCCACACUGGGGCUGAGACACGGCCCAGACUCCUACGGGAGGCAGCAGUGGGGAAUAUUGGACAAUGGGGGCAACCCUGAUCCAGCAAUGCCGCGUGAGUGAUGAAGGCCUUAGGGUUGUAAAGCUCUUUUACCCGGGAUGAUAAUGACAGUACCGGGAGAAUAAGCUCCGGCUAACUCCGUGCCAGCCGCCGCCGUAACAC
rnacentral:rRNA from 1 species